CGGGGAUCUUUACCCAUCUUAGUUAGAAAAGUGACCAGGAGUGGGUCAAGUUCAGGGGUGACAGCCACCUUAUCAGGGAUCAUAGGCCGUGGACAUUCUGCUCUUAAAUUGGGCCUAAUCUCCUUUUCUAAGGGUUUACGAAGCCAUAAUCUGCAAUAUUUUGCAAUGUGAUCAGGGGGUGUCCAUUCCGCUGAACGAGGGUGUCUGAUGCAGCGUGGGUCAAAUAGAG